GCAACCAUAGUGUAGUGGUUAACAUGCUCGCCUUCCAUAACGUGGUCAGCGGGCGGCCCAGUUCGAGCCCCGGAGGUUGCA